AAUUAAACAAAUCUAGAAAAUACUACAAGAAUUCAUUUGCUUUGCUUUGCUGGUUUCUCACAUAUCUCUUCCCUUCUUAUCACUUUGUAUCUCCCUCUCUUCUCUUCAAUCUUGCCUCUCCUCCCCGGUAAACAAGACAAAGAAGCUUCCUCCACGGCGCCCUGCCAAGGUCACCGCAACUUUCGCGUGCGCCUCACCCAGCCGAGGAGAAGCGUCAGAGAGCGUCGCCAUCUUGUGCGUUCCAGAGAGCGUCACCGUCUUCUGUGUUCCAGAGAGCAUCGUCAUCUUCCUGGCCGUCUUCCUCGUUUUUCAUCACCGUAGUCAGCCUCUCCCUUCUGGUCUUUUGCUGAUGGAUUUCCAAAUAUUUUUAUAGAAAAUGCAGAAGAGCUCCGAGGUCAACAUGUUGCUUUUCUGUGAGAAAGACUUUGAAUUCAGAACUGUGGCAUGCUUGUGCUAGCCCUCUUGUCUCUUUGCCUCAAGUGGGAAGUCUUGUUCAUUACUUUCCCCAGGAACAUAAUUGCAGCAUGGAAUUGGUUUAGGUCCUACGUACUGUUAAGGCUUUACAAACAUUGAAGAAGGCUUUGGGGCUUCCUCCCAGGUUUGGGUGGAAUGGUGAUCCUUGUGUUCCUCAACAACAUCCAUGGAUUGAAGCAGACUGCCAGCUAAACAAGAGUAGCAGCAAAUGGCUCAUUGAUGGACUGUAAUUUCUUAUUACCUUUAUUAGGUUUUUAUUAUACAUUUUGUUGUGCAGACCAUUUAGUGGCAUCUUAGCUUAAUGAUUACCUGCUUAUUCCAUGCAGUCUUUUCUUUCUUGUUACAAAACCAAAUACCAUUUCUUUUUUUCCCCUUUACCACAUAGCUCCCUAAGUAACAAAUUAGAAGCCAAUGGUUAUAGGUGUCUCUGCCCACAGAAAACUUGCAAUCAGAUCCUGUUAAUUUAUUUUGGUUUACAGACAAUGUUUUCCUAAAUCAUUUGGGAAGUUUAAGUUUUGGUUUGCUUUGCUUUUCUUUGGUUUAUGAAAACAUCCCUUUCUAUGUUCCCUUUUUGAAUGUCCAUAUCAACUCCACUCUGCACUUGACAAAGAAGUUUGUACCACUAGGGCAUGAAGCCAUUAUGUUCAUGUUGAAAACUCAAAAUGAAUAUUUAAUCUCAAUAUUAUUUGUUAUUUCAUGC